UUUUUUUUUUAGUGGUAUCUGUCACUCAGAGUAAAUGAGGUCCCAUUACAAGAAACAAGCAAUUUUUUCACUUCAGAAUGUGACAGUGUCACCUACAUUUUUGUUACUGGAAAGGAAUAUCUCAUUUUUAUAUCUGUGGUUGCUGUGGGUUUUUUUUUUUUGGCUUUGAACAAAGAUAGUAUGCAAUUGUCUACCCAAUUCAGCAUGCUGUAUGCAGCUUCAGGGCAGCACCACUGACAAGUCAGACACUUUGGAAGAAAUACAGGUUCUCCAAAUGGAAAGGGAUCAGCUGCUCAGAAGGAGAAAUAGUAUGGAUAAGAAACUGAAAGAUGGUAAAGUUUUGUCAACUGAAGUAAGUAAGCACUUCUGAGAUAAAUACAGGUUUUAGGUAUUGUUUGAUAAUAAAGAAUUUCAGUCAUAACCUAAAAUGUCUCCAAAUAUCAGGUAAGCUAGAUAUAAGGAGCAGAGGUUGGAUACUUUUGUAAAUAGAUAUUUUAGAGUACUUCUAUAAUAGCACCAAGUAUAUACUGGUGAAUGAAGUUUAAGAUCAGAGGAACAUAAGUCAGAUUGUGUCUUGCCAAACUCUAUUAGUCUAAGAGUCAUAUAAUGAGAAGUAAGGGAACCAGAACUUAAUUUGUUUAUCACAGGCAGGUAUUUUAAUGUUAGGAUACAGAACAAGCCAUGUAUUCACAUAGUAAUGCCCCUUGAUUUUUUUCAUAGAAUCUUGUGAAAAAGCAAAUUUCACCUGAAGGAGUACUACUUAUUUUCUACAGUGAAAAAAGUCAUAUUACAUGGAUGGCCAAUUACUUGGUGUUGAUCAGUAUCAUUUUGUUGAAGAUAAAAUAAAUUAAUAUAAAAUGCACAGAUUGCUUUUAGGUCUUGAGAAGCAAUAUGAGACUAUGGCUUAGGCGAUAAUGUUCCAGAAAGACCCCUACUUGCCUCACUCAUCAAAGUCUGCAGUGCUUCAGGCCAGGCAUUUCUGCCACUUCCCUACAUAAGUCAUGAUCACCAAACUCCUUACUGGCUGAUUGAUUAAUUCAUUAAUCUAACAGAAAAUAGUACAUUAAAAAAAUUAAAAAUAGCAGGAGUCAAACUGUGGUGAGGAUGAGGGAAGGAUAAAAAGGAAAACAUGACUUCUAGUUUUGUGAUGAGCCAUUUGAUCAACCCCUGUAUUGUGUUAGGAAAAAACAAAUGUUCUAGAUUUGCAAUCUACCUCUUGUUUUCCUAUUCCAUUGUCUGUGCUACUAGUUCACCUUACCAUUAAGUUCAGGUUUGCUCUUGAGAAUGAAGCUAAAGAUGUCUUGAAAGAUUAAUUCUGAGCUUUUUUUUUUGUAAAGAUCUCACUCAUGUGUUUCUCUGUAGGAAGAACAUAUUCUUUUCCAGCUAGAAGAAGGAAUUGAAACCCUUGUAGCUGCAAUUGAUUACAAGAAUGAAAGUAUCCAUAAUCACCAGCACUUACUUAGGUUAUCUUCUCAGAGUCUUUCACAGAGCCAGCAUAACGUAAUAGGGAAACUAGUUUCUUUGUCUGCUGCUGAGCUCAGAGCUAUCAUCACCAGUUAUUUCAACAAGGUUUGUUUUGAAUAUGAUUUUAUCCCAUUUUCUAUUACUAUUCUAGAUACUGAGAUGGUGGCAGGAAAUAAAAAUAAAUUUAAGAAGAAGCUUUUGGUUAAUAUAUCUUCAGGUUACAUAGAUCUGCUAUUAAAUAGAUCUGCUAUUAUUAAACUUAAAUAGGAUACUUGUGAGUUAAAUUUGUAUAUCUUGUUUUGAUAGAUUAGCUAGAAACAUGCUACAAAUCUGGAAAUUACCUUGCCCUUUUCCAGUGCUCUGUUUUGUUAACUUAAGGGGAAACAACGUGUUUAAAUAGUGGUGUUGUAGUCAAAUUCUUCCUGACUGCAGAAUUUCAGAAAACUUCAUAAAGCUCAGGCUGUCACUCCUGUUGUGUUUUUCCUAAAUCUGAUUUUGUUGGUUUAAAAGAGCCUGGAUUUAGAGAGGGCAGAGGAAGCCAUGGAAGCAGCUUCUGAGAGAGAACGCUGCUUGAAGCUUCUACUAUGUCCAACAGAGCCAGUCUCUGAAGGCUCUGAUAAUGGACAUGUUUCUAAUUGGACAUGUUCUCCAAUUAGAGAAGUUGGUAAUGCCUCUGUGAUGACAUAUUUAAGAAGGAAAAAAAAUGCACGCAGUUUUUCUUUUCUGAGGGCUGGGGGUUGCUGGGGUGGCCAUGAGGCUGCCGUGGCCAUGCGGCUGCUGCCAUCUCAGCAUGGCCUGCAGUGAACUGUGCCUGCCUGGCCACUUCUAGCCUGCCAUGCUGUGGGCAGAAAGGCAGGGGUAGUGGCACCAGCUGCUGUUUCCUGGCACAGCCACAGCCAUCUUGGCACAGUCCACAGGGAACUGUGCUUGCUUGGCCGCUUUUGAAGCCAGCUGUGCUGCGGGCAGAAGGGCAGGGGCAGCGGUAGUGGCAUCUCCUUGCAGGCGCCUCACAUGAAGAGAGGCGCUGAACGGUGCCAGAACCACAGUGGCUGGCACUGCCCAAGCGGCAGUGGCAGGGACCGUCUGGCCAACAGUGAGGGGCAUGGCGAGCAUUUCCCCCAUAUAGAGCCCAGAUGAGAUCAGCCUUUUAGCACUGCAAAACCCUAUAAGAACUUUACAAUGGAUAGAACUUGAAAACAAACAAACAAACCUGCAGACAGUUUUCUUCUGAGUCAGAAAACAGGUGGUGAAGACACCUGAGGAGAGCAACAUGGUGCCACUUAGGUCAGUGAAAAGCCUCCUCCAGGAAGAGGACAUGCUCCAAACUUCAGAGCUGAGAUUCUUGUAGAAGCUGUGGUGAGGACUAUAAUACAACAAACUUUCCCCAUAAUUCCAUGAAGUGCAUAGGGGGAUCCAGAGAUCCACUCACAGCCCAUGAGGAAAAGUGCUCAUGCUGGACUAAGUGGGUGCUGCAAAGCUGUAAUUUAGUGGGAAACUUGAGCAGAGAAAGAUAGAGAAAGAGAGCCCUUGCUUCCAAAGUAGAAAAGAUUAUCCUUAAAAGACUACAUCCCAUGAACUAAAAUGACCCACUCUGUUCAGUUUUGGGAAGACUGCAUUAACUGUGGGAGGGACUCACAUUACAGUAGGUCGGGUGGGACUGGUACUCAUGAAAAUUAGAACCACACUAGAAAAGUUUGCAGAGAAUUGUGUCCCAUGGGAAGGACCCCACAGCAUAGCAAAAGAAAAUCCUCUCCCUAAGUGAACUGAAGAAGGAUUUCAAGUGAAAAAACUGAGCAAAACUCUCACACGCAGUCUUCCUGUGCUGUCAGUGGUAAGGGAAGAGGGACUGGAGGUGGAGAAAAAGAGUGUUUUAAAAGUUUUAUUUUAGUUCUGAUUAUCCUCUUUUAGAUCGGUUAAUAAAAUUUUCAUUAUACCUUUUAAAUUUGAGCCUGUUUUGCCCUUUGAGUGUUUCCUUCUGGUCCUUACUUCAACUCAAGAGCCCUUUAGUUUUUCUUUCCUCCUCCUCUGCUGUAGUUCAGCAGAGGAAAAAGAAUAGUUUUUCGUGAGUGCCUGGCUUUUAGCCAGUAACCACGACACCAGUAUAAACUGAUGCUUUGCAGUGUAUACAGCUGUGUGCUUAGGAAUCAUACAUCUGGAGACAUAAAUAUUAAAUGCAUUAUGACAUGGUGUCUUUGUGAUCUUGGGUGAAUCUUUGGUAAUUUUGUAGAAGAGUUGUCUGUGGGAUGCAAGUUGGAAGUUUUUCAGAAUCCGGAAAGCAUUGUUAUUUCAGUUUAAAUUUUGCACAGGGUAUUAAAAAAAUCCACUAGUCCAUGUGAUCAAAAUGUAUGCAUUUUAGUUCUGAAGAGUCAGCCUGUAGCAGUGGCGAGUCUAUUUCCACUAUAAGCUUAAUUGCUUUUAGAGAUCCAGUGCUUUUGUAUGUUUUAAUCUAGUAGGCUGAAGGGUAAAAGAUUUUCUGAAAACUGCUUGAUAAAUCAGAAUAAGUGUGUUUCUUUCUAAGAUUAUUGGCCUGCGCGAGUCUGAACGAAAAUUACAAGUGCAGAUUGAAGAACAGGAAAUUAAGUCCAUACACCAGAAAAACAUGAUGCAUGAAUUAGAAUCUGCACUUGAACACAUCAAGGUGCAAUGUCACAGACAGCUGACUCACCAGCGCCAAGAACAUGAGAGAAAAAUACAGUUUAUAUUGAAAAAUUUCAAAGAACAAAAUAGUGAAGGCACUGCAGAGACCCUGAAAGGGUAUGAAGUAAAAAUACAGCAACUGGAAAAAGAUUUAUUUUUCUAUAAGAAAACCAGCAGAGAGCUGAAGAAGAAAUUGAAGAGCCUUCUUGGAGAGUCAUCUGAAUAAUUAUUGUCAUCAGUAAAUAAUCCAGAUGUACAACAGAGCUAUUCAUGUGGAGGAGAAAAGAAGAUUCAUCACCGUUUCUGUUGUCUCAUACCUCUCAAUGCCACCACAAUACCUCACAUACACAAUAUGGCCUUCUUGGCCUGUAUUUGUUUCUUUUUAAGGCUCAGCAAGACUGGUUCUUCCUCCCAAAGGAUGCUUCUAUUUCUUUCCACUCAGUGAAAAUUCAGUUUCUUUCCUACACAGAGAGGCUGAUCACACCCCUCUGCUCCCAGAGUGAAUUAGGGCUCAGCCCUUUCCCUCUAAGGCAAGAUAAUGAGCCUUCAUAUUCAUGACUAUAAAGUACACUAUCAGACUGUGAACAUGAUUAUUCUAGAGCCUAGAUAAUGAGUGACCAUGGGAAAGACUAUUCUGUGUCUAGUAUACACAGAAGCAUGUAGUUUAGGAUAUGUAUCUUUGUGGGCAAACACUUAGCCUUGGGAAAUUUUAGCAGUAGGAAGAAGGGAGAAGACCCCUCUGAAUUUCCAGCAUUUCUAAUGCAUGUAUUUUCAAGUUUUGUAAGAUACUCUGGAUUGAGUUAUUUUUCUUUUUAGUAUUUUUCAGUACAUUAUGAAACAUGUUGCUAUAUAAUGCAAUAAAACCAUAAUUUGUUACUGGGCUUUAGAAAGAAUAAAAUCCCUAUUUGUAUAUUGCAAUCAAAUUUGUAAAUGUCUUUUGUGUGUUGUACUAGUAUAGUUGUUGACUUUCAGUACAUGAAUAAUUUCAAAUUUGUCAUGGUUCAGUUGUUUUUAGACUGCUUUCUGGGAUACAUGACAAGUUUGAAUGGUGAGCCUUGUAUUAACAGCACCUUCUCAGAUGAGAGUAAUGGCAAGUACCACUUACAGUUUUGUAGAUGGUGAACUUUUUGAAUAGAAAGGGCAAAAUGUGAGGUGCUGAUAACUUUUUACCAUGUUCAUGCUGUGAGUUGCUGAUGCUGUAAAACCAUGUUGCCUGCUUAUGUCAGGCACUUAGAGAAGUUGUAACUUUUAGUUGUUGGCUGAUAAUUUCAUUCUGCGUAACAGUAUUGGUGUUGUUAUCCAGUCAAGAGGAAGGACAAGUUGCUUCUGAUGAAUUCAAAUGAAAACAGCUGUAAAAGUAAAGUAAAAGUAAAAGUACUUUUUCAAGUAUCAAAAAACUCCCAUUCUGUCAGCCUGCUCCGUGUACUUUAAGCAAUGAAUAAAAAGAGUAAUAAAAUAAUUUAACAUA
rnacentral:lncRNA from 1 species